UAGCUGCGACUAACUUGAAUAGUGACUUUUUGGUGCUAUUGACCGCUACACACCACGCUUUCUUGCAAUUUUCAAGUCCAAGAAAGGAUGUGUUGGAGAGAAACUGGCUGAAAUUGUGCAACAAAUUGAUUCAAGGAAACCAGAUGUGACAGCAGUGCGUACCCUUGUUCUCCAAGGCAUCUCUGUUCUGCUUGGUGAUGACUCCAGUACAUUCUACAGCACCUGCUUUGAUUCUGACAGUAAUGAGGCCUGGGCUCAGGUAUCUGUAGGCUUGCUGACUGUCAUCAGUGAAGAUGCGCCCCUCUCUCCAAAUCAUCUCCAUCUUGACCCGUUGUCUACUGCCAUCAUUGUGGAAGGAGGUAUUGUAAUGGACAAUCUCGAGAACCUACCUCAAGC